CAAAACUGCCAAGCAUUGUCCCGAUCCAACUGCUGCAGUGCUGCUGCUUGGCCAUCCCCACUCUCCUGGCCGGUUCACGCCACACAGUUGCCAAGGUCGACGACAAGAUCGCGAGCAGUCGUGUGAGAACGCUUCUCAAAAACCUUAUUCGCCAUCUCCCGGUGCAGGAUCUCGAAAGCGAAGGGUUCCGAAGACUAACAGUCAAACAACCAAAAAAUAAAACGGCAAAAUGAAGUCGUUUCACGCGUAUGUCGUACGCCCGCGCCUUCGCCCCGGCGAGGUGAGGCGAGUCCACACUCUUUUCUCUCAUCUAUGACUUAGUGAGUGAGUAUAUCCUCCAUAUUUAAACUAGUUCCACUCUAAUUAAACUAGCAAUAUAAUACUAAAUGUUCUACCAUUCCCUAGUCAUACUCAUAUAUAGACUUUUAAUAUCUUUCUAUAAUUUAAUUGAAUUUCUCGAUUAAGCCUAGCCCAGGAAUCCAACGGUUCCCUCGGUCACAAGCCAAACAGUGCAACAGUGGUUGCUGUGCAAUCAGCUAGUAGCUAGGUAGUCGAGGUUCUCCUUGCCUCUCCUUGGCUCCUUCCAUCAUUCCAUCGUCUUUGCUCGAGGAGUCGAGGUUCAGGUUCCACGGUGCGGCGAGAGCUAGCUCGCAGCCAUGGAGAGCAAGAGCCCAUGGUCGCUGCGGCUGCUAAUUUGCUGCGCGGCAAUGGUGGCCAUCGCGCUUCUCCCCCAACAAGGAGGCCAGGCCGCUUGUUUCGUGCCGACGCCGGGUCCAGCUCCGGCACCGCCCGGCUCCUCCGCGACGAACACGAACGCCUCCUCCGCUGCUCCUCGGCCAGCCAAGCCCAGCGCAUUCCCGCCCCCAAUGUACGGUGGUGUCACCCCCGGCACCGGCAGCCUCCAGCCCCACGAGUGCGGCGGCCGGUGCGCGGAGCGGUGCUCGGCGACGGCGUACCAGAAGCCGUGCCUCUUCUUCUGCCGCAAGUGCUGCGCGGCGUGCCUGUGCGUGCCGCCGGGCACCUACGGCAACAAGAACACCUGCCCCUGCUACAACAACUGGAAGACCAAGCGGGGAGGCCCCAAGUGCCCCUAGUAGCCCUCCCUCUCGGUCUACUUGAUGAGA
rnacentral:misc_RNA from 1 species